UGGGUUGUGGCUCAGUGGUAUAGCGCUCACCUAGCAUGUGUGAGGCACUGGGUUCAAUCUUCAGCGCCCCAC
rnacentral:tRNA from 1 species